UACGGAAGGCAGCAGUGGGGAAUAUUGCACAAUGGGCGCAAGCCUGAUGCAGCCAUGCCGCGUGUAUGAAAAAGGCCUUCGGGUUGUAAAGUACUUUCAGUCGUGAGGAAGGUGUUAAGGUUAAUAACCUUAGCAAUUGACGUUAGCGACAGAAGAAGCACCGGCUAACUCCGUGCCAGCAGCCGCGGUAAUACGGAGGGUGCGAGCGUUAAUCGGAAUUACUGGGCGUAAAGGGCACGCAGGCGGUUAAUUAAGUUGGAUGUGAAAUCCCCGGGCUUAACCUGGGAAUGGCAUUCAAGACUGGUUAGCUAGAGUCUUGUAGAGGGGGGUAGAAUUCCGAUGUGUAGCGGUGAAAUGCGUAGAGAUGUGGAGGAAUACCGGUGGCGAAGGCGGCCCCUGGACAAAGGACUGACGCUCGAUGUGCGAAAGCGUGGGGAGCAAACGAGGGAUUAGAUAC
rnacentral:rRNA from 1 species